GAUGGGCUCGCGGCCUAUCAGCUUGUUGGUGGGGUGAUGGCCUACCAAGGCGACGACGGGUAGCCGGCCUGAGAGGGCGACCGGCCACACUGGGACUGAGACACGGCCCAGACUCCUACGGGAGGCAGCAGUGGGGAAUAUUGCACAAUGGGCGGAAGCCUGAUGCAGCGACGCCGCGUGAGGGAUGACGGCCUUCGGGUUGUAAACCUCUUUCAGCAGGGACGAAGCGCAAGUGACGGUACCUGCAGAAGAAGCGCCGGCCAACUACGUGCCAGCAGCCGCGGUAAGACGUAGGGCGCGAGCGUUGUCCGGAUUUAUUGGGCGUAAAGAGCUCGUAGGCGGCUUGUCGCGUCGACCGUGAAAACUCGCAGCUCAACUGCGAGCCUGCGGUCGAUACGGGCAGGCUAGAGUUCGGUAGGGGAGACUGGAAUUCCUGGUGUAGCGGUGAAAUGCGCAGAUAUCAGGAGGAACACCGAUGGCGAAGGCAGGUCUCUGGGCCGAUACUGACGCUGAGGAGCGAAAGCGUGGGGAGCGAACAGGAUUAGAUACCCUGGUAGUCCACGCUGUAAACGUUGGGCGCUAGGUGU
rnacentral:rRNA from 1 species